AUCGUGCACGCAAGCCAAUGAGUACACGCAGAAGGCGGUUCUUGCGAAGAUUGGCAGUCAAUUUAAUCCAACCCCUGACGAAUUCUGGGUGACGCGCUUAGGUUUGGACUGGAUGGCUUUCCCUGUUAACCAGAAUCCUUUGCUAGCCUUGAUUGCUAAGCCAAUGGCUGGGCGGUGGGGGCGGGUGCAAGGUGACGGACACCGCUCUGGACGAAUGGCGGGGAAGGAAAUGAAGGUGCCCAGUUUUGGUGGGAGCCAGUGGAAGAGGAACUGCAUUGGGGCGGAGCCGGCCGCCAAACGCGAGCGGGGAUUAGCCGCAGCGAGAGUGAAUGGCAGUCGACGUGGGCAGUGCCGACCGGCUGCGGGGAAUUCGGCCUGACGUCUGGGUUAGCGCCCCAGGAGCCUGGUUGGGUCGUGGACAGUGUCACCGAUGACAAACUGACCAGGCCACUGGGAUCCUCCAUGUCCCUGCCUGACUUCAACCAGAAACACCUGAGCAUCUGCAAGAUAAGGGGGUUAGCAGGACACUCACCGCCGGCCUACGUCCACACCAGCCCCAGCAUCCCUCUGUGGGACCCGCACCUCAUAGACGGCCAGGUCCGUGCAGGCGUAGGGGAUGAUGCCGAGCAUGUUGGGCAGGUAGCCGCGGUACAGGGCACGGGUGCCCUCCUGCUUCAGGAUCUGCCUUGCACAGUCCAGCAGCCCCUUGUACUGGCCCGUCCGGCGCAAGGUCAGCCGCGUCUUCAGCACCUGGGAAGGGUGAAGAGGGAGGGGGUUCAUCCGAUGGAAAGCUCUCAUCGGCCCUCAGCAGCAGCCGGCGUUUCUGUUCUCUAGCUGAGGAAGCAGAAGCUGAGGAGUCCAGAGAGCAGAGGUUCGAACCCAGAGCCACGUGAUCCCUUGGCCUGUGCGUGCCCUCCACCCAGGAUUCAGAAGCCCCGGUGCUGACAGAGGCAAGAGGAUAAGGGAAGUGGCGUGGACUGAGCGGAGUCACAGCCUAUACCCGGCAGACACCAGAUGUAAAGCCACAGGGGGUGCAGACCCUAGGUGGCCAGGUUUGCCAAUUUUCCAAGAGAAGGCAGACAUAAUUUGUAUGAAAUACUCCCAACAUCAAAAUAUUGGCAGCUCUACAGUUGCCUGUAAGACCAAACACCAAGUUCGAUAGGCAGAAUUCUGAGGUGGCCCCCAAGUUUCCCACCCGAUAUGUAUGCUUCAUAUAAUGCCCGCCCCCUGACCUUGAGAGUGUGCUAGGCCUGUGACUAUGAUGGGGUGUCACUCCCCUCGUCAAGUUACAUGACGAAGGUGAAGGGAUUGUGCAGAUGUAUUGGAGGUCCUGAAGCGCUUGAUUUUAAGUGAAGCAAGACCGAUUUCCUAGGUGGGCCUGACCAAAUCAGGUGAUCCUUUUAAAUGAGUCUGUUGCCAGAGACCGAAGAAAUCAGAGUUAUGGGGAGCAUCCAGGACGCCCUUCAGUUGGUCUUAAAUGAGCAGACUGUUGUGGAGAGGACCACCUGGCAGGGACAGUACAUGGCCUCUAGGAGCUGAGAACCCCAGUCCUACAACCAUAAGAAACUGAAUCCUGCCAGCAACCAAGGAACUUGGCAGAGGACCCAGGCCUCAGGUUCACUGUAUCCCAGCCAACACCUUGAUUUUGGCCUGAUGAAACCCUGAGCAGAGGACCUGACUAGCCAGUGCCCAGGCAUGACCCACAGACAAAGGAGAUAAUAAAUCUGUAUCAUUUUAAGCUACUGAGUCUGGCAAUUUGUUACACAGCAAUAGAACAAGUACACUAUAAGACGAAAUUUAACUGGUCAAGGGCAAGAAUUAUAUGGAAAAAAAAAAACAACUUUAAAAAGACCAUUAAAGUCCAUAAAAGGAGACUGGAACCCAUGGAAAUGAUCUUGGACACCAGACCCAGCCUCAUAUAGAUGGCAGGCACCUCUAAGCUUCUUUAUAAAUCGAAUACCAUCCCAGAAAAAAAAAAA